AUUUGAGACUGCUCAGGAGCCUGGACCCAGCUGAUGCAGCUCCUUGUCCUUCCUGAGCGUCUUCACUGACAGUGGCCUGAGAGCCCCUGAAAGUGCUCACCGUGAGCGGCUGGUACCUGUCCCCUGGGAACUGCAAGAUGCACAGGACCUUGUGUACCUGUUUGUGAUCACAGCCGAGGACCAGCGAGGUAGCAUUACCACAUCCACACAGGGCUUUUACCAUAACUGCCCCAGUACUGGAACGAGGAGCUGCAGAUGAUGAGGGACCUACCCAACAAGAACCAACCUGAGCAGCUGCUUCAAGAAAAAGCCAUGUUCAAGGUGCCUGAAUCCCCUGGUAAGUGAGUGACAGCCUCACAGCCUCAGGCCCACCUGGCUCCUGCUGGAAGGUUUUCUUGUGCUCGGGAGAGAAGUGAGGGAAGCCGGCAGUCCCAGCCCUGUCAGGUGCCCUGAAGGCCCGUCAGGUUUGCCCUGCAAGGCCUUCUAGCAUUCUGCUUCCUGGGAGACCAUCCCCCACCUUUCUCCGGCCUCUGAGACUUUGAGUCCUUGGGAGGAGAAGGCCCUCCUUGCUAUCUGGGCUGAGUGGCCAGGGCCAUCCAGCUUCCCACCCUCCACUGACUGCCAUGGGGCCCUCCCCUGAGCACAUGGUGCCCAACUGUAGCCCUUCUAGGGCAGGGGCUCAUUGGCAGCACUUGCAGCUUGCUGGCACUUAAAAGUCAUUAGUGCGGUUACUGAGAGAAAUGAGGAAAAAAUAAUUGUUAAAAAAAAAAAAAAAUCUCUCCUAAACUUACUGUGUAACAUGGAAGAAGUAACAGCCAAAAUUUCUUGGGUACUAACUUUACCAGGAUGAUUCCAAGUGCUUUAUAAGCAUUAUUUCCUAUAAUCUUUUGGACCCCUUGUAAAUGUCAAUACUUUCCAUCAUCAUCGUUGCAUAGACAAGAAACUGGGUCUGAAGUUACCUGCCCUGGUUUGCCUGGCACAUAGCUGGUGGAUCCCAAACCUGCCGCAGCCCUCAUACUCCUUGGUAGCCACUAAACUCUGUGCCUCUUUAAGCAUAAGUGUUUACUUUUUUGUAGAAAUGAUUUUCUUGCCCU
rnacentral:lncRNA from 1 species